rnacentral:rRNA from 1 species
AGCAGCCGCGGUAAUUCCAGCUCCAAUAGCGUAUAUUAAAGUUGUUGCAGUUAAAAAGCUCGUAGUUGAAUUUCGGGGUCAGUAGAUUGGUCAUGCCUCCGGUAUGUACUGGUCUUACUGGCUCCUCCUUCCUGAUGAACCGUAAUGCCAUUAAUUUGGUGUUGCGGGGAGACUGGACUGUUACUUUGAAAAAUUGAGUGUUUAAAGCAGGCUAACGCUUGAAUACAUUAGCAUGGAAUAAUGAAAUAGGACGUUCGAUCUUAUUUUGUUGGUUUCUAAGAUUGACGUAAUGAUUAAUAGGGAUAGUUGGGGGCAUUAGUAUUCAAUUGUCAGAGGUGAAAUUCUUGGAUUUAUUGAAGACUAACUACUGCGAAAGCAUUUGCCAAGGAUGUUUUCAUUAAUCAAGAACGAAAGUUAGGGGAUCGAAGACGAUCAGAUACCGUCGUAGUCUUAACCAUAAACUAUGCCGACUAGGGAUCGGAUGAUGUUAAUUUUUAAUGUACUCAUUCGGCGCCUUAAC